CCUACGGGAGGCAGCAGUGAGGAAUAUUGGUCAAUGGACGAGAGUCUGAACCAGCCAAGUAGCGUGCAGGAUGACGGCCCUAUGGGUUGUAAACUGCUUUUAUGCGGGGAUAAAGUGAGGGACGUGUCCUUCAUUGCAGGUACCGCAUGAAUAAGGACCGGCUAAUUCCGUGCCAGCAGCCGCGGUAAUACGGAAGGUCCGGGCGUUAUCCGGAUUUAUUGGGUUUAAAGGGAGCGUAGGCCGUGGAUUAAGCGUGUUGUGAAAUGUAGACGCUCAACGUCUGACUUGCAGCGCGAACUGGUCCACUUGAGUGUGCACAACGCAGGCGGAAUUCGUCGUGUAGCGGUGAAAUGCUUAGAUAUGACGAAGAACCCCGAUUGCGAAGGCAGCUUGCGGGAGCACGACUGACGCUGAAGCUCGAAAGUGCGGGUAUCGAACAGGAUUAGAUACCCCAGUAGUC
rnacentral:rRNA from 1 species